UACGUAGGUCGCGAGCGUUGUCCGGAAUUACUGGGUGUAAAGGGCGUGUAGGCGGGUUAACAAGUCAGAUGUGAAAUCCCAUGGCUUAACUGUGGGGCUGCAUCUGAAACUGUUGAUCUUGAGUAUCGGAGAGGAAAGCGGAAUUCCCAGUGUAGCGGUGAAAUGCGUAGAUAUUGAGAGGAACACCAGUGGCGAAGGCGGCUUUCUGGACGGUAACUGACGCUGAGGCGCGAAAGCGUGGGGAGCAAACAGG
rnacentral:rRNA from 1 species